rnacentral:rRNA from 1 species
AAUGGGUCAGCGACUUAUAUUCUGUAGCAAGGUUAACCGAAUAGGGGAGCCGAAGGGAAACCGAGUCUUAACUGGGCGUUAAGUUGCAGGGUAUAGACCCGAAACCCGGUGAUCUAGCCAUGGGCAGGUUGAAGGUUGGGUAACACUAACUGGAGGACCGAACCGACUAAUGUUGAAAAAUUAGCGGAUGACUUGUGGCUGGGGGUGAAAGGCCAAUCAAACCGGGAGAUAGCUGGUUCUCCCCGAAAGCUAUUUAGGUAGCGCCUCGUGAAUUCAUCUCCGGGGGUAGAGCACUGUUUCGGCAAGGGGGUCAUCCCGACUUACCAACCCGAUGCAAACUGCGAAUACCGGAGAAUGUUAUCACGGGAGACACACGGCGGGUGCUAACGUCCGUCGUGAAGAGGGAAACAACCCAGACCGCCAGCUAAGGUCCCAAAGUCAUGGUUAAGUGGGAAACGAUGUGGGAAGGCCCAGACAGCCAGGAUGUUGGCUUAGAAGCAGCCAUCAUUUAAAGAAAGCGUAAUAGCUCACUGGUCGAGUCGGCCUGCGCGGAAGAUGUAACGGGGCUAAACCAUGCACCGAAGCUGCGGCAGCGACGCUUAUGCGUUGUUGGGUAGGGGAGCGUUCUGUAAGCCUGCGAAGGUGUGCUGUGAGGCAUGCUGGAGGUAUCAGAAGUGCGAAUGCUGACAUAAGUAACGAUAAAGCGGGUGAAAAGCCCGCUCGCCGGAAGACCAAGGGUUCCUGUCCAACGUUAAUCGGGGCAGGGUGAGUCGACCCCUAAGGCGAGGCCGAAAGGCGUAGUCGAUGGGAAACAGGUUAAUAUUCCUGUACUUGGUGUUACUGCGAAGGGGGGACGGAGAAGGCUAUGUUGGCCGGGCGACGGUUGUCCCGGUUUAAGCGUGUAGGCUGGUUUUCCAGGCAAAUCCGGAAAAUCAAGGCUGAGGCGUGAUGACGAGGCACUACGGUGCUGAAGCAACAAAUGCCCUGCUUCCAGGAAAAGCCUCUAAGCAUCAGGUAACAUCAAAUCGUACCCCAAACCGACACAGGUGGUCAGGUAGAGAAUACCAAGGCGCUUGAGAGAACUCGGGUGAAGGAACUAGGCAAAAUGGUGCCGUAACUUCGGGAGAAGGCACGCUGAUAUGUAGGUGAAGCGACUUGCUCGUGGAGCUGAAAUCAGUCGAAGAUACCAGCUGGCUGCAACUGUUUAUUAAAAACACAGCACUGUGCAAACACGAAAGUGGACGUAUACGGUGUGACGCCUGCCCGGUGCCGGAAGGUUAAUUGAUGGGGUCAGCGCAAGCGAAGCUCUUGAUCGAAGCCCCGGUAAACGGCGGCCGUAACUAUAACGGUCCUAAGGUAGCGAAAUUCCUUGUCGGGUAAGUUCCGACCUGCACGAAUGGCGUAAUGAUGGCCAGGCUGUCUCCACCCGAGACUCAGUGAAAUUGAACUCGCUGUGAAGAUGCAGUGUACCCGCGGCAAGACGGAAAGACCCCGUGAACCUUUACUAUAGCUUGACACUGAACAUUGAGCCUUGAUGUGUAGGAUAGGUGGGAGGCUUGGAAGUGUGGACGCCAGUCUGCAUGGAGCCGACCUUGAAAUACCACCCUUUAAUGUUUGAUGUUCUAACGUUGACCCGUAAUCCGGGUUGCGGACAGUGUCUGGUGGGUAGUUUGACUGGGGCGGUCUCCUCCUAAAGAGUAACGGAGGAGCACGAAGGUUGGCUAAUCCUGGUCGGACAUCAGGAGGUUAGUGCAAUGGCAUAAGCCAGCUUGACUGCGAGCGUGACGGCGCGAGCAGGUGCGAAAGCAGGUCAUAGUGAUCCGGUGGUUCUGAAUGGAAGGGCCAUCGCUCAACGGAUAAAAGGUACUCCGGGGAUAACAGGCUGAUACCGCCCAAGAGUUCAUAUCGACGGCGGUGUUUGGCACCUCGAUGUCGGCUCAUCACAUCCUGGGGCUGAAGUAGGUCCCAAGGGUAUGGCUGUUCGCCAUUUAAAGUGGUACGCGAGCUGGGUUUAGAACGUCGUGAGACAGUUCGGUCCCUAUCUGCCGUGGGCGCUGGAGAACUGAGGGGGGCUGCUCCUAGUACGAGAGGACCGGAGUGGACGCAUCACUGGUGUUCGGGUUGUCAUGCCAAUGGCACUGCCCGGUAGCUAAAUGCGGAAGAGAUAAGUGCUGAAAGCAUCUAAGCACGAAACUUGCC